CAGCAGCCACGGUAAUACGAGGGGGGCUAGCGUUGUUCGGAAUUACUGGGCGUAAAGCGCACGUAGGCGGAUAUUUAAGUCAGGGGUGAAAUCCCAGAGCUCAACUCUGGAACUGCCUUUGAUACUGGGUAUCUUGAGUAUGGAAGAGGUGAGUGGAAUUCCGAGUGUAGAGGUGAAAUUCGUAGAUAUUCGGAGGAACACCAGUGGCGAAGGCGGCUCACUGGUCCAUUACUGACGCUGAGGUGCGAAAGCGUGGGGAGCAAACAGGAUUAGAGACCCCAGUAGUCCCUGUCUCUUAUAC
rnacentral:rRNA from 1 species